rnacentral:rRNA from 1 species
UACGUAGGGUGCGAGCGUUGUCCGGAAUUAUUGGGCGUAAAGAGCUCGUAGGCGGCUUGUCGCGUCGGAUGUGAAAGCCCGGGGCUUAACUCCGGGUCUGCAUUCGAUACGGGCAGGCUAGAGUUCGGUAGGGGAGAUCGGAAUUCCUGGUGUAGCGGUGAAAUGCGCAGAUAUCAGGAGGAACACCGGUGGCGAAGGCGGAUCUCUGGGCCGGUACUGACGCUGAGACGCGAAAGCGUGGGGAGCAAACAGG